AUUGAACGCUGGCGGUAUGCUUAACACAUGCAAGUCGAACGGAAACGAUACUAGCUUGCUAGUAGGCGUCGAGUGGCGGACGGGUGAGUAACGCGUAGGAAUCUACCUGAUAGUGGGGGAUAGCCCGGAGAAAUUCGGAUUAAUACCGCAUAAUCUAUUCGUAGUAAAGUGGGGGACUUUCGAGCCUCACGCUAUCAGAUGAGCCUGCGUAAGAUUAGCUUGUUGGUAGGGUAAAAGCCUACCAAGGCGACGAUCUUUAGCUGGUCUGAGAGGAUGAUCAGCCACAUCGGGACUGAGACACGGCCCGAACUCCUACGGGAGGCAGCAGUGGGGAAUAUUGGACAAUGGGGGCAACCCUGAUCCAGCAAUACCGCGUGUGUGAAGAAGGCCUGAGGGUUGUAAAGCACUUUCAAUUGUGAAGAAAAGUUAACGGUUAAUAACCGUUAGCCUUGACGUUAACUUUAGAAGAAGCACCGGCUAACUCCGUG
rnacentral:rRNA from 1 species